UAAAAGAAGCUCGUAGGGCGGUUUGUCGCGUUCUGCUGUGAAAAUCUGGGGGCUCAACCCCCCAGCCCUGCAGUGGGUACGGGCAGACUAGAGUGCGGUAGGGGAGAUUGGAAUUCCUGGUGUAGCGGUGGAAUGCGCAGAUAUCAGGAGGAACACCGAUGGCGAAGGCAGAUCUCUGGGCCGUAACUGACGCUGAGGAGCGAAAGCAUGGGGAGCGAACAGGAUUAGAUACCCUGGUAGUCCAUGCCGUAAACGUUGGGAACUAGAUGUGGGGGCCAUUCCACGGUCUCCGUGUCGCAGCUAACGCAUUAAGUUCCCCGCCUGGGGAGUACGGCCGCAAGGCUAAAACUCAAAGGAAUUGACGGGGGCCCGCACAAGCGGCGGAGCAUGCGGAUUAAUUCGAUGCAACGCGAAGAACCUUACCAAGGCUUGACAUAUACCGGAAACGUCCAGAGAUGGUCGCCCCGCAAGGUCGGUAUACAGGUGGUGCAUGGUUGUCGUCAGCUCGUGUCGUGAGAUGUUGGGUUAAGUCCCGCAACGAGCGCAACCCUCGUUCUAUGUUGCCAGCACGUUAUGGUGGGAACUCAUAGGAGACUGCCGGGGUCAACUCGGAGGAAGGUGGGGAUGACGUCAAAUCAUCAUGCCCCUUAUGUCUUGGGCUUCACGCAUGCUACAAUGGCCGGUACAAAGGGCUGCGAUACCGUAAGGUGGAGCGAAUCCCAAAAAGCCGGUCUCAGUUCGGAUUGAGGUCUGCAACUCGACCUCAUGAAGUCGGAGUCGCUAGUAAUCGCAGAUCAGCAACGCUGCGGUGAAUACGUUCCCGGGCCUUGUACACACCGCCCGUCAAGUCAUGAAAGUCGGUAACACCCGAAGCCAGUGGCCUAACCCUCUGUGGAUGGAGCUGUCGAAGGUGGGAUCGGUGAUAGGACUAAGUCUAACAGAGUUGGCCCCCGG
rnacentral:rRNA from 1 species